rnacentral:rRNA from 1 species
UGGGGAAUAUUGCACAAUGGGCGAAAGCCUGAUGCAGCAACGCCGCGUGAGGGACGACGGCCUUCGGGUUGUAAACCUCUUUUAGCAAGGAAGAAGCGAAAGUGACGGUACUUGCAGAAAAAGCGCCGGCUAACUACGUGCCAGCAGCCGCGGUAAUACGUAGGGCGCAAGCGUUAUCCGGAAUUAUUGGGCGUAAAGAGCUCGUAGGCGGUUUGUCGCGUCUGCUGUGAAAACCCGAGGCUCAACCUCGGGCCUGCAGUGGGUACGGGCAGACUAGAGUGCGGUAGGGGAGAUUGGAACUCCUGGUGUAGCGGUGGAAUGCGCAGAUAUCAGGAAGAACACCGAUGGCGAAGGCAGAUCUCUGGGCCGUAACUGACGCUGAGGAGCGAAAGGGUGGGGAGCAAAACAGGCUUAGAUACCCUGGUAGUCCACCCCGUAAACGUUGGGAACUAGUUGUGGGUCCAUUCCACGGAUUCCGUGACGCAGCUAACGCAUUAAGUUCCCCGCCUGGGAGUACGGCCGCAAGGCUAAAACUCAAAGGAAUUGACGGGGUCAUAGCUGUUUCCU